rnacentral:rRNA from 1 species
AGAGUUUGAUCAUGGCUCAGAUUGAACGCUGGCGGCAUGCCUUACACAUGCAAGUCGAACGGCAGCACGGGAGCAAUCCUGGUGGCGAGUGGCGAACGGGUGAGUAAUACAUCGGAACGUGUCCUGGAGUGGGGGAUAGCCCGGCGAAAGCCGGAUUAAUACCGCAUACGAUCUCUGGAUGAAAGCGGGGGACCGAAAAGGCCUCGCGCUCAAGGGGCGGCCGAUGGCAGAUUAGCUAGUUGGUGGGGUAAAGGCCUACCAAGGCGACGAUCUGUAGCUGGUCUGAGAGGACGACCAGCCACACUGGGACUGAGACACGGCCCAGACUCCUACGAGAGGCAGCAGUGGGGAAUUUUGGACAAUGGGGGCAACCCUGAUCCAGCAAUGCCGCGUGUGUGAAGAAGGCCUUCGGGUUGUAAAGCACUUUUGUCCGGAAAGAAAACUUCCUGGUUAAUACCUGGGGAGGAUGACGGUACCGGAAGAAUAAGCACCGGCUAACUACGUGCCAGCAGCCGCGGUAAUACGUAGGGUGCGAGCGUUAAUCGGAAUUACUGGGCGUAAAGCGUGCGCAGGCGGUUCGCUAAGACCGAUGUGAAAUCCCCGGGCUUAACCUGGGAACUGCAUUGGUGACUGGCGGGCUAGAGUAUGGCAGAGGGGGGUAGAAUUCCACGUGUAGCGGUGAAAUGCGUAGAGAUGUGGAGGAAUACCGAUGGCGAAGGCAGCCCCCUGGGCCAAUACUGACGCUCAUGCACGAAAGCGUGGGGAGCNNNNNNGAUUAGAUACCCUAGUAGUCC